rnacentral:lncRNA from 1 species
UGAGUUGCAAGAUUCUUUUUCUGCCUUCUUCAUCACAUGUUAUGUUGUUCUCCCUCAUGAAUAGUUGUAUGCUUGAUGCAAGGUCGCCCCUUUCUUGCUCCUCCUAAAAUUGUGUUACCGAAAAAGAAACAUUAUCUACAAAUUAGUUCAAUUGCUUCCAACUUGGCUUGGAAAAACUGUAAAUUUUACAAUCAAGUUGGACUUGGUCUUUAAGUGAUGAAGUUGCAUAAAGUUAAAACCUUGGAAAUUAUCCCUUCCAAGAAAAUUACCUGAGUAUCGCAAAUUGCAGAGAAUAAUAUGUGGGACAAUUUAAGGACUAAUUUGACACAAUGGUAGAAUUUUUAGAUCAAAUCAAAGAUUCCACUUGUUACAAGGCUUAAAAUUAACCUUAAAAUGUUAUUCGACGGUCCAUUAUAGGUAUCUAAGGCCUUUUUUUUCCCAUUUUUUUCUUUGUUUUCUUGGACCGCAAUAUUGAUUUUGGACAAAAAUUUGUAAAGCUUCUGAAAAUAUUGUAACAACAUACCUUUGCGGUCCCUAAAUCAUCCCAAAGUCGAAGAAUUCUGCCCGAGCAGGAAAAGAGCUUAGGAUAGGGUUUCAUCAACAAUUUUACAUUUUCCUCUGUGACCCCUUGUCCUAUGAGGAAGAAUAGAUGCACCAUGGCCAUGUAGGCUCCUGCUGUUGUAACACCAUUUUCUACAUAUUCUUCCAUGUUUGGUACUUGACCAUUGUUAUACCAGCUUGCUUCCAGCAUAAAGCCUUCGAUCAUGUCUAUCCACUGUCAUCACGAAAGUGACAAACAGAACAUUAGGCUUAACAAUAAUAAGAUGGCAGCCAAUAUUUGCUUUCUAAAUCAAGUUGGAAAAUUAAUGAGGCAUAUUUGUCCAAAAAAAUUACUAUAAGAUAAUGUCAUAUUUGUCCGAAAAAUUGUUGAUUUGGAUGGACCAGCUUUGAGGAGCCAAUUCAAGAGCCAGCUAUUGAGACAACGAAACACCAAUUAUAGUUUACCUUUAUGAAAGAAGGAAAAGAAAAGCUUGAAAAAGAUUGUAUUACCGUUGCUUUUAGAUAUGGGAGGACACUCCAACCAUUUUCUUUGAGGAUCUUGUAGCAAAUUUCGUUAGUAGUAUUGUACAGUGCCAUGUAACAUAUUCUCAUGUAUUCAGGUAGCCCUUCCAUUGCCUCAAGAUCCCAUCUGCAAAUUGCAUUUAUCAACAUGUUAAAACCAAUCAAAAUAUGUAGUUUCAACUCUUCACACACAACAAUUUGAAGAGCUAAUUUUACCUUCGAAUUGCAUUUGUAAAGAGAACAAGCUCAUCAAUUGUGCCAUGCGUGUCAAAAAUAUCAUCAAUCACCAACAAAAUGGCAAUGGUCUUGGCCAACUCAAUUCUGCAGUUUGAAUACUUGGGCUCUGGAAGUAUUCCAACAGUCCACAGAAAGCAUUCCAGUGGUCUAUCUCGAGCAAAGGUCAGCUUGUCAACAAGGCCUAAUUGUUUCCACCACCUGAAAAGAUAUUCAAAGACAUUAUUAGUAUUACUAUUUUAUUCAAGAACAUUUAAAAAAAAAACAUCUUUUCUCCGUAAUUAUGGGAAUACUAAUAAGGCAUAUAUAGUUUAAUGAGCUGCAAAACAUGCUUUACCAUAAUUAUGGGGGUAUUAAUAAGAAGUCAGUGUAGCCAACCAAUUGAUGGAAUGGAAUAUGCAAAAAAAAAAAGGGGAUUUUACCUAGAUAUCUCAGUUAACUCCAUUUGGUGGAGAGAUUGGACCUUGUUGUAGUCCAAUUUGGCUAGUUCCAAAAGGUUUGGGUCGUGUCCAAUUUCCUCACUGUAUUCUUGAAUAUACCUUCUGGCUUCUAACCUUGCCAUCCUUCUAUGUCUUGGUAGUUCCAGGGCACUAGAAACCUUUCUAGCAAGUUGGGUUGGUAAGCUAGGAAGUGACUGUUUUAGGUGGGCUUCAGUGAAUUCCAUGGCCUCCAGCAAUAUGUCUUCUCCAUUUGCACCUAGGUGUGAGGCUUCAUACAAACUCAACAACCCCAUGGUAUCUUCUUUCAGGGAGUCUUUGAAUUUUCCAUUCUUGUCCAUGAACUUCUGGAAAAUAUCUGUAAUUUUAAAAGAUGUCAUGAAACCAAUAGAAAAAGACUGCAAAUAUACAUAAUGCAAAACAAACAGAAGGAAGAGGUACUGUUAGCCAUUUCAAGAAGUUUGUAGUGGUAGAUUAUUCAUAAGCUUAAUUUAGUUUGUAAACUUAUGCUCAUAUUAUGCUUAUGAUCAAAUCAUCAUAUAUGGCUGAGUUUUCAGUAAUACUAAUACCAAAAGACUUGGUGAUGGUUGUAAUAAAAACUAUCAUGGGUUAUGGUUGUAAUUGCUAUAUUCUUUUCCAACGUCCUACAUACAAUCUCCUGAGUUGCAAGAUUCUCGUCAAACUAGACAAAGAGGAAGGAGAUAAGAAAAUCACAAAUAAUUCAAAACACAAUAAUGAUUUUUCAGUGAAAGUUUUACCUUCUUUCUUGGUAAACGUUUCAAACAAUUAUCAGAUAUUGAGCUAGCUGUUAUAUAUAUACCAAUCAAAAACAAAAAGAAAUCUAAAUUAAAGAUAGCAUGGUCAAGAUCUUACCAGAACUUAUUUUGUGACCAUUAUGUCUUAGCAAUCUAAAACGAAAUGCAGUAGUGAGGAGAUCUCCAUCAGAUUGACCACUUGAAGAUAACUGGGAUAAUAUAGCAUUCAUAUCAUCUUCAAAAUGGUAUGCUAAUCCCAGUCGCUGCAGCGUGUCAAUCAAAUUCAUGGCCUUUAAGGGUUCUGAAGUUGAUCUCAAUUCCCUUCUUGUUCUUCCUAGUAGUUCUUUCCUGCUGUCAUCAACUUCAUGUGGAAGCACCUACAAUACAUAUUUCCAUCCCGCCAAAUAAACGUGUAAGAAAAGAAUUUAGGAAGCAUAGAUCACUUGUUUAAGUAUCGUUAGCGUUACUUGAGGUUUGUUUUAGUUGCAACAAACCAAGAUACGAGUUUUCGUAGAAAAAGAGACUCUCUACAUCAAAAUACCAAGUAAGAAACACCAUUAAUGAUGACCAAGAAAUUGUUACAUACCGAAGGCUGGCGCAAAUAUUUGAGUAGGGAUUCAUUAUCUCUGAUCAAUGGCGUUGCAAUGGGCUGCGUCGCGGUUGGUGUUGGCAUGCACAUGCAAAUGCGUGAGGUUUUGAAGAUAAAUUGCCUUUUUAGCCACAAACCAGUUGCCUUUGGAGCUCCACGAGGGACAUCAAGAACUGCCCAAGAUUUUGAUAGGGAGGAAAAGUUGCUUGUACAAGCCAUUUUUGCCCUCUUGAAGAGAAAAUGACUCGUCUAUUUGCUACCCAAGUUUAACGGGACAUAUAGAUAGGAGGAUGCGGUGCACUAUAUAAUAAACAAUUAGAGCGCAUGCCUCACGGGGGAAACAUAAAUUAUUGAAUUCUACAAUAUAAACAAUUAUUGAAUUAUAAUUUCCAAUGUGUCCUCUUGUGGUUCUUCUGUUGUUGUCGUUGUCAUUGUUGUUGUUGUUUAUAAUUUCAGUUUAUUUCUUUUAAAUUUCGGACAAUAUCCCUCUGUUACUCUAGAAUGAAAGAACUCUGGUGAAAAAGAUAGAAAGGCAAAUGGGAAAUCUCAUAUCUCGUAGCAGAGAAUAUUGUGUUAGACUUCAGUUGACUGUUUAAUUAAGGUUACUACCUAUACUGUACAUAUACGAAAUACGAAUGCUACUACCUAUACUGUACAUAUUCAAGGAAGAGGAAUACCCUUUGCAGAGAUCAAUUUGACGGGCAAUAAUUUAGAUAGUUUAAUAUAUAUUUUGAUUGUAUGCUACACUAAUACUAGUGUUAGGUUUCAGUAAUCUUUUAGGUUUCAGUAAUCAACAUUGUUAGUUGACAAACAUCGUUAUUCAAGUUACAUAAACAAACAUUUUCAUCAUUUUGUUCAAUUCAUAUUGAACAAACAUGGAGGAAUUAAGCCAAUACAUUGUUAUCACUUUAUUUAAUUUAGAUAAACAAACAUGCAUGGAGAAAUUCUUUUUGAAAUCUAAAUUCUGAUAUUCACACAGGGGAAACAAUUAUCACCUUGUCUAUAUUUACUUGAACAGUGUGAGUAUUCUUCAGCAUGUUUGCAAAAGUCUAUUCCUACUUUUAUACGACGGGGGUAAGGAAAAGCCUAAUUCGACAUGUAUUAGAAUUGAAAGGGAAGAUAGAACGCACCUCCAUAUCAAUGUACUAUCAUAUUUUCUACCUUUUAACAUGGAUUCGAACAUGUGGCUUCGUUUCUAGGAGAGUUCUAAGAUGGUUUCCCUGGAUAGUGAUUGACUCCAAAUUAUUUGGUACUGCCAUUGAUUGAUACUGUCUAAGAUGCUUUUAACAGGAUUAUAUUUUCUAGUCAUUGAUUGAUACCAAAUAAAUUUGGUGCUGCCAGUGAUUGAUAACUGGACAUUGGCUCAGGUCCACCACAAAACUGAUCUAAUUAAGAUAAUUUUCAAGUUGCUGUGUGCUAAACUUCCGUUGGUCUGUCCAACCUUAAAAUUUGUCGGAGUUUUUUCACCACAAAAGACCUAAUCUAGAUGGCAAAUGAAGCUUCACUGAGGACCACCCCUUACCUUUUCAGCCAACAAAAACAAAAACGAACAUGUACCAAAUGAAAACACUAGUUUUCGUAUCAGGAUCUUCAUGGCUUUUUAUGAUGCUGUAUCUCCUAGAGAUCUAGAAAGAAAAAAAGGAAACAAAUUGAUGGGGAGAGAAUUGUCCUUGUGUGAAUACCUUUCAAUAGUUUAUAGUAUGCAGCAAUUGCACAAGAGAUAGGCACUCCAAAAAGGCCAAUUAAGACAUCCUUGUUUAGUGAUUGAUUCUAAGAUGGUUGGGUUCGACUUUUACUAAUUCCUUCGAUAUUGAAAAUAUCAGAAAGAAAACAAACCUUUAAAUCCAAUUACCAAUUACAACAACCAAAGUUACUAAAGAACCACUAAUUCUCUGUUUAAUCUUUUUUAUUUAUUAAAUUCCAUUUUGUAAUCUGAGUAAUACACGCGAACUAUAAGUGUUAUUAAACUCUGAUUUGCACCAUCACAUAAUAUUAAUAGGCGUUUUUUAACCUAGAUUUUUUGGUCACCAUGCUCCUGUCAAUUUGGUGUGAAAACAUAGGCUCCAUUUGGAUUACCUGUUUUGGGAGGUGCUUUUUAAAAACUUUACUGUAGCUGUGUAUAUGAAAAACUUUUAAUGUAGAUGGUUUUUGGAUUGUUUUUAGAGGUAUUUUUAAAAUAUAUUUUUGAGUAUUUUUAUAAUUUACAAUUUUUUUUGGAAUUUUUUUUAAAUAUAUACUGGCUCUGUUUCUAUCUAUUAAUAUUUAUUUAUUUAUAUAUAAUAUUUUUUAUUUCAAUUUUGUUUUAUAAUGUGUAUAUUAAUAUAUAUUAUAAAUAUAAUAUGUAUACAUAUUAUAUAUAAUAUAUAUUUAUAAAUAUAAUUAUACAUAUUAUAUUUAUAAAUUAUAUAUAUUAUAUAUGUAUUAAUAUAUAUUAAUAUAAUAUUAUAAAAUAAAAUUGAAAUAUAUAUAUUUAUAUAUUUAUAUAAACAUAUAUAAAUAAAUAUACUUAUAUAUUUGUAUAAAUAUAUACAUAAAAAUAUUUUAAACAAAAUAUUUAUAUUUAUAUAUUAAUAUAUAUAUUUAUUUCAAUUGAUAUAAUAUAUAUAAUAUAGAUAAUUGAACUAUACAUAUUAAUAUUAAUAUAAUUUAUAUAUAUAUAAUAUAAUAUACAUAAUUGAAAUAUACAUAUUAAUAUAUAUUAAUAUACAUAUUAUAAAAAAAAUUGAAAUAAAUAUAUUUAUAUAUUUAUAUAAAUAUAUAAAAAUAUAUAGAAAUAAAUAUAUUUAUACAAAUAUAAAUAUAUGUAUAAAUAUAUAAAAAUAUAUUUUAAACAAAAUAUUAAUAUUUAUAUAUAAAUAUAUAUAUUUAUUUCAAUUUAUAUAAUAUAUAUAAUAUACAUAUUAAUAUACAUAAUUGAAAUAUACAUAUUAAUAUUAAUAUAAUUUAUAUAGAUAAUAUAAUAUACAUAAUUGAAAUAUACAUAUUAAUAUAUAUUAAUAUACAUAUUAUAAAACAAAAUUGAAAUAAAUAUAUUUAUAUAAAUAUAUAAAUAUAUAAAUAUAAAUAUAUUUAUAAAUAUAUAUAAAUAUUUUUUAAACAAAAAUAUUUAUAUUGAUAUAUAAAUAUAUAAUAUUUAUUUCCGUUGAUAUAAUAUAUAUAAUAUACAUAUUAAUAUGCAUAUUAAUAUUACUAUAAUUCAUAUAUAUAACAUAAUAUACAUAAUUGAAAUAUACAUAUUAAUAUAUAUUAAUAUACAUAUUAUAAAAUAAAAUUGAAAUAAAAUAUAAAUAUAAAUAUAUAUAAAUAUAUUUUAAACAAAAUAUUUAUAUUUAUUUCAGUUGAUAUAAUAUACAUAUUAAUCUACAUAAUUAAAAUAUACAUAUACAUAUUAAUAUAAUUUAUAUAUAUAAUAUAAUAUUACAUAAUUGAAAUAUACAAAUUGAAAUAUACAUAUUAUAAAAAAAAAUUGAAAUAAAAAAUAUUAUAUAUAUAAAUAAAUAAAUAUUAAUAUAUAUAUAAUAUAAAACGAAAUUGAAAUUGAAAAAUCUUAUUUCUAUUUCCAAUUUCAAAAACUCCAUUACUGAAUUCAAACCAAAUUCGCUUUAUUUGAAAUAAAAAAUUUCGAAUUUUUCGUUUAUUUGGAGUUGUUUUUGAUAUAUUGUUCGGAUAUGGUGUUUUUGGAGUUGUUUUUGUUUGUGUAUUAUUGUAGCAUUGUAGAUAAAAAAAUUAUUUUUCAAAAAAUGCUGAAUCGAAACAGAGCCAUAGUAUCUUGAGAAAUGACACCUGGUCAAGUUGAGAUCAGGACUCCUAUCGUUUUGGUAGCUUUUUGAGAGCCAGCCACGGAAGAAGUCAGGGGGAAUUGGGAGUCUUUCUUUUACGCCCUUUUGUUAGCCGAAUAGGAAGUGCAGAUUACAUAGGAAUUUUGUGAGAAGAAGUAGCCGUCAAUUUUGAUUUCUCUUUGGCUUUGGACAAUUUUGUCCUUUAGUGGCUAGGAGUCCACAUAUGUUGGACACUAGGGUAGAAAAACGGGGAGUCAUCUUUUGACUUGGGGAGUUUUUUUUCCAUUGUUCUUAUUCUAUCGUUUUCUCAUCUCAAUUUCGGAGAUAAUGGCCGUAACUGAUUCUACAACUUUGUGCGGGCUUUUUUCAUCAUGAAUGAACUAAAUUCCUUUGUCUAGUCAAGAAACUACGGAGAUUUUGAUUCAUCUAAAAAUUAUAAAAUCGAAUUAAUUUUACUCAUUCUUUUUAUUUAUUGGUAUUUGCACAUUCCAUGAUUUUAGUGCUUAUGGUUGUUAAAUUAAUUGAUUAUCUUGUAUCCGAAUAGUGAAUUGAUCUAAUAAUCUAUUGUCAAUUGGGGCAUUAAAUCCGUAAUUGUUUAAUUACCUUGAAAUAGUGACAACUGGCAUGAUUGGAUUUGUGUCAGGGAAAUAUGCAGGCUAAUCUAAAAUAACCCUGGUAAUGCGUUAGACUCUUCUAAUACGUAAGGCAAUUGGGGAAUUAAAUCUUACGGGCGUACCUAGGAUUAUUUCUCAAUUAGAGCAGUGAUUAACGGGCGUACCUUAAUCACCGACACAGUAAGUAGGGGUUAACUGUCAUCGCUUGUUUGGCAGUACAGUUAUAACCUAUUUAUUAGUAAAUAAUUGGAAUUACUUUUGCAUCGAUGAUCAAUUAGGUGAACCAUUGCUGAAAUUAUUUCUUGGCUAGACCUUUAGUUAUUAUUAAUCUGAUUGUAGUAAAUUGUCAUUUAAUUUUUAGUUAGCUAUUUAUUUUUAGUUGAACUGCUUUAAUUGUCAUCUUUUAUACAAAAACACCCCGUCUAACUUUGGAUUUCAAAAGAGACAAAUACCCCCAGUCCAUGAGGAGACGACCUUACUUGACCUUUAUACAAAUCAAUAAUUCCUUGUAAAUAAGCAAUCCCAUUCUCGUAUAUCUGAUUAAGCAAACUUUUCGGGAACAGAGUGAAUCAAGUAACUCAUUGUACACCUAGAGUCCCUGCUUCAGUACUUAGAAUCGGGUUCUGAUUACUUUGGAAAAAUGUUUUAGUAUUACCUAAUAUAACACUUUCAUGAUAUGAUUUAAGUGAAUAAUAAAGUGAUUAAAAAAAUGUAUUUGCAGAAUAAUGGGAAAAAGUUCUAAAUAACCAUAUCUAAAUCUAUUUAUCUCUUAGGCUACGUGUACAUGUCGCAUUACUUACAUUGUUGAUGGAAAUUCAUAUCUUAUCAAUGGCUUUUUUUUUUUUUUUUGUCGUCAUAAUUUUUUUGUUUUGCGGAGAAUGACAUGUAUGGCAUUUACGGUUGCAAAUGAAUCAAACUGAUUCAUUUACGAGUUGACUCGGUCAAAGCUUAGCUUGAACUCGAGUCGAAAUUGAACCGACCAACUCGAGCUAUCGAACUCGAGUCAAGCAUAAAGAAACUCAACUCAUUAGUUCGCGAGUUGGUUCGAAUAUACAUACACACACAUACACAUAUAUUUAAUUUAAUAGUAAAAUUAUAUAUAUAUCCUAAUAUUUUUAUUAUAUAUUAAGAAAAAAUGACUAUUUUAUUCAUUUUUAAAAAAUAAAAUAAUUAAUUUUUUUUAGUUUCUUAACUUCGAGUAGGUUCGAUAGGUUCAAAUUUGAGAUCAAUUUUGAAUUUGGUAAAAUUAAGUCGAGACUCGAGUCAAUUAGACUAAAAUUCAACUCGACUCAACUCAUUUGCAAGCCUAAUGGCAUCCAUAUUUUCUUAAAGUUUUCACAAUGAAAUUUGCUUCUCUCCAUUAUAAUUUUUUAUCCUUCUAAAUAACAAGGAAUGUUUAAACUUAAUUUUUUUUUUACAUAUUUCUUUAAGUGAUCAGUUGAAACAUGAAAGGAUAUGGUCAGUGACUUUCUUUACCUGCUGUAAUGUCACCAAUAGAGUUCCAGAGAUAAAUUAUGAGCUUGAUACAGUAUUACAUCUCUAGACCGACUAAAACACAAUAAAGGGCCCCAUCAACCAUAUUUGAAUUUUAUUUUGAAAAUCGAAGAGUUUAAUCCGUGAAACAUCUAAAAGUUACUCAAAAAGACGGGCUAAAACAAUGGAUUCUUUUUUAUCAUCAAGAAAAUCAUAGAAUAUACAUACAAUAAGCCCAUAGCUAUUAAUACUUAUUUAUGUAUAAUUUUACAUUGAUCAAUUAAUUAUAGGGGUGAAAAACAGAGACUCCACAUAAUUAUCUACGCUGGAAAAGUAGCUUUCUUCUUCAUGCUGAUACACAACUUGAGAAGAUCUGGCCAUGUUGAAUGCAGCUUUGAUAAUUGCAAGAGGCAUUGCAUCUCGAGACACUAAUUCCCAGUUGAGGUCCUUCCACAGAUUAUCUAUGAGUUGCAAGAUUCUUUUUCUGCCUUCUUCAUCACAUGUUAUGUUGUUCUCCCUCAUGAAUAGUUGUAUGCUUGAUGCAAGGUCGCCCCUUUCUUGCUCCUCCUAAAAUUGUGUUACCGAAAAGAAACAUUAUCUACAAAUUAGUUCAAUUGCUUCCAACUUGGCUUGGAAAAACUGUAAAUUUUACAAUCAAGUUGGACUUGGUCUUUAAGUGAUGAAGUUGCAUAAAGUUAAAACCUUGGAAAUUAUCCCUUCCAAGAAAAUUACCUGAG